GACGAACGCUGGCGGCGUGCCUAAUACAUGCAAGUCGAACGCAGUUGCGAACGGGUGAGUAACGUGUAGGUAACUGCCUUAUUGCCGGGGCAAACUUUCUGAAACGAUACCUAAUCCCGCAUACUGUGAGAUGGACCUGCGUUGUAUUAGCUAGUUGGUGAGGUAAAGGCUAACCAAGGCGACGAUACAUAGCCGACCUGAGAGGGGGAGCGGGCACCAGGGGCCUGGGACACGGCCCAGAAUGCUACGGGAGGGAGCAGGAGGGAAACUGCGGAAAUGGGCGGAAGGCGGGACGAGCAACGGCGGGGGAGUGGAGGAGGUGAUCGGAGCGUAAAGCUAUGUGGUUAGAGAAGCGGUAACUACCGAGAAAGGGACGGCUAACUACGGGACAGCCGCCGCGGUAAUUC
rnacentral:rRNA from 1 species